rnacentral:rRNA from 1 species
AUUGAACGCUGGCAGCAGGCUUAACACAUGCAAGUCGAGCGGGGUGAUGGUGCUUGCACUAUCACUUAGCGGCGGACGGGUGAGUAAUGCUUAGGAAUCUGCCUAUUAGUGGGGGACAACAUCUCGAAAGGGAUGCUAAUACCGCAUACGUCCUACGGGAGAAAGCAGGGGAUCACUUGUGACCUUGCGCUAAUAGAUGAGCCUAAGUCGGAUUAGCUAGUUGGUGGGGUAAAGGCCUACCAAGGCGACGAUCUGUAGCGGGUCUGAGAGGAUGAUCCGCCACACUGGGACUGAGAAACGGCCCAGACUCCUACGGGAGGCAGCAGUGGGGAAUAUUGGACAAUGGGGGGAACCCUGAUCCAGCCAUGCCGCGUGUGUGAAGAAGGCCUUAUGGUUGUAAAGCACUUUAAGCGAGGAGGAGGCUCUUUUGGUUAAUACCCAAGAUGAGUGGACGUUACUCGCAGAACAAACACCGGCUAACUCUGUGCCAGCCGCCGCAGUAA